CCAGCCCCCACCUACCUUGGCAUGGACGUGGCCCGGCCGCGGGGGGUCGUCCAGCUGCAGGCGCGGGACGCUGGAGGGGGGAGGCGUGGAGGCGACAGACAGACUGACGGCGGCGGCUGGCUUGGCUGAAAGGCCACCUCCUCCAGGAAGGCUUCUCAGAGGGCCCCCAGGUGAAACAGAUGCCUCUAUCCGGCUGCAAAGGCUUCAUUCUCACCACUUUCCAGGACCCUGUCACACCAGUUCCCCCAAUCCCACGCUCCUGAGGCCUGUCUCCCUUCCUCUCUCACCCAAGGGCUGUGGAUUGGGGAGAGGGAGUGUUCAAGGUUAUAACCCCCUUUUAUUUGUUCAUUUGCAUCCAGCCAAACAAAUUAAAAGCACCAAGACUCUCCCC
rnacentral:lncRNA from 10 species